GCCGGGGAGAGGGCCGGGAGGGGGCGUGCAGUUUGGCCCUAGGGUCCGGAGCUGAAACUCAACACCCGCCUUUGGAGAGAGCGUCCUCUUUUCUCCUCCUCCCCUUCCCUUCUCCUCCCUUUUCCCCUCCCUCCUUUCUCUUAAUCCCCAGGACUGAGCCCGGCGCCGGAGCGGAGAAGGCCCGAGGGGAGGAGAAAGGAACUUUCGUGAGAGGGAACCGGGAGCCGGGAAGGGGAGGGAAGGGAAGCCGCGAGCGGGGUGAGCCCCAAAGCCACGCGCGACCCCCGGAGCCUUCUUAGCCUCUCAGUGCACCACCACCUCCAGGCGGCGAGUCCACAGGACCCAGGCCCCAGCUCCUCCGCGUCCUCUUUGCUCCUUUUGCUUUGUGGCCUUUCUCUCCGUUCCCAGAGACACCUGGGAGCUGCCCCGAGCUCUGCUAAGGGUGCGUGUGAGCGGGGCGGCGAGGUCGGAGACCAGCGGGCCAGGGAGGGAGCGGGAGCUAGUAACCCUGCGCGCUGGGGCCGAGUGGAGGGGGCGGGUGGGCCGCUCCGCGGCGUCAGCAAGGCCGUCCCGCCCCUUCGAACCGGGCCCGCGUGCGCGUUGUGAGACACCGUCGCGGUAACCCCUGCCUCCUGGGCGUGCUGCGAGCCAGUAUGCCUGACUGUGAGUCCGCUUCACCGUCGGGGGUGCUAGUUUCUGGGCAGAAAGCAGCCACUUGGGCAACUCGGCCCAACGGCCACGCUCUCGGUGGCCUUUGGCGCCUGGCCUCCAUUUGCCAACUUGGGCGAGUUUGACGAGAGUCGAACGUCUCAGUUCUCGCUCUCACGCACCACCCUCCCUCGCAGCAGGGCAGCCGCAGUGCCUCAGGCCGCCCCGACCACAGCCCUGGGAGCACCGCUGUCCCGCGCGGCCCCCGGGUGGGGCGGGUUGGCGCCUAAACUCGCCCAUCCAGCUCAACCGCCCCGGCGGCUUCUCCCAGCCCUCGGGGCUGUCCUGAGAGGCCUGGAGUGGCGUCGAGUACAACUCCAGCUCCCACCUCCUCUCCUGCCCCGGCCCUGGAAGGGAGCUUUCGGCCCAUGCGGAGCCGGUGUACCUUCGCGGCCUAGGGCAGGCAGCUCCCGGGCCUGGCCAAGCCGGCGGCCCCCGGGACUGCACAGAGCGCACGCCCUUGGAUGAAGUCCCGCAGCGAAGCCUCGGCCCGCCUUGCCCCUCCUCCUGCCCCGCCAAGCUGCCUCCCAUUUGGGGAAUUUUGUGGGUUUUCUUUCUCCUCCUCCAACCUACGCGGAGACCACGACUCAGGCCCCGCAGCUGGGGCCGCCCCCAUGGUGCCGGGCAGCCGCUGCUGAGGUCCACAAAGCCGAGCCUGGCCUGGAUUGGGCAGCGCGGGAGGCCAAGGCCAUGGCCUUAGCCACGUCGGCCCAGCUGGCCCGGGCACUCUACGACAACACGGCUGAGUCCCCCCAGGAGCUGUCCUUCCGCCGAGGGGACAUUCUACGGAUACUGCAGAGGGAGGGCGCUGGUGGGCUGGAUGGCUGGUGCCUCUGCUCCCUGCAUGGCCAGCAGGGCAUUGUGCCCGCCAACAGAGUGAAGCUCCUUCCUCCUGGCCCAGCACCCAAUCCCAGCCUCUCCCAGGUGCCCCCAGCCCAGCCUGGCUCAUCAUAUCCAGUCCCAGAGUACAGCAGUGAGGAUCAGGAGGUGUACGUGGUGCCGCCCCGAGCUCGGCCGUGUCCUGCCUUAGGACCAACAGCUGGACCCUGCCCACCCUCCCCAGACGCCAUCUACAAGGUUCCCAGAGGCAGUGGGACUCAGCUGCCUGCCCCUGGAGAUGCCUUGGAGGUCUAUGACGUGCCCUCCACUGCCCUCCGAGUUCCCUCCAGUGAUCCUUAUGACUCCCCUGCCUCCCUUUCCCGCCCUCUGGACCGGGUUACCUCACAGCCCGCUGGAGAGGAGGAAGCUCCCUAUAACGUGCCUCUGGCCCCACGAUCACCAUCAGACCUGGAGCCAGAUCUGGAGUGGGAAGAGGGCCGGGAAGCAGGGCCGCCCCUUUACGCUGCCCCCUCCAACCUGAAACGGGCGUCAGCCCUGCUCAAUCUGUAUGAAGCACCUGAGGAGCUGCUAGCAGAUGAGGAAGGUGGGGGCACUGACGAGGGCAUCUAUGAUGUGCCCCUGCUGGGGCCAGAAGCACCCCCUUCUCCAGACCCCCCAGGAGCUUUGGCCUGCAGUGACCUGGACACCUUGGCCUUGCUUCUGGCCAGAAGCCCCCCAGCCCCACACAGGCCCCGGUUGCCCUCAGCCGAGAGCCUAUCCCGACGCCCUCUGCCUGCCCUACCUGUCCCCGAGGGCCCCAGCCUUUCCCCAGCUCCCUCUCCUGCUCCAGGCCGGAAAGGCAGCAUCCAGGAUCGGCCUCUGCCCCCACCCCCGCCCUGUCUGCCUGGCUACAGAGGCCCCAAGGUGGAGGGGGAUACAGAGGGUGGGGAGGUGGAGGAUGAUCCAGCUGGACACCACAAUGAGUAUGAGGGCAUUCCCGUGGCCGAGGAGUAUGACUACGUCCACCUGAAGGGCAUGGACAGAGCUCAGGGAUCUAGGCCACUGGAUAAGGCCUUCCCAGGGAACCCUGAACAGCCGGAGAAAGGGCCGCAGGAGCAGCAGGAGGCCCUGUCCCCAGGGGAGCUGCCCGCUGUGUCUGCUGGAGAUCUGCAGCUCCUGCACUUCUACGCAGGGCAGUGUCAGAGCCACUACUCAGCCCUGCAGGGGCAGGUGCCAGGCCCUCUGGGGCAGGAAGGAACUGGACUCUCCUCCCUCAACCUGGGCUGGAGGUUCUUCGUUGCUGCACCACCAGCCACCUCUGGAAGCUUGGCCCCAGAGAAUUAGGUGGCUGAAACAAGGGGCCACCCAGAGCCCCUUUCUUGUGCUUUUCUUGGCUCUAGAAUAUCAGCACCUUACUGGUGGCCAAGAGUGAGGACAGGAUAUUGGCCAUCCAGAAUGUGAAGGUCUGGAAGAGGCCAGAGGGCUCCUCUCUGCAGGAGGCAGGAGAGAGGCUUCCUGCUGACCGUUCUGGACACACCGUCUUUUAGAGGAGCUGAGGGGCAGAUGAAGGCCAUGUGUUAGAAGUCUACAGUCCUCAGGGCCUAGGUGGGAGAUCACUCCAGCUAUUUACCACAAGGGAAGAAGUCCAAGCCACAGAUCCAUUUCUUCAGGUCUGCUUCUCCAAGAUGAUGCUCUGGCACAGUGACUGACUGGAAGCACCCCAGACUUCAGUCAGAGUCUUAGUCUCUUGGUGCCCACUAUGCAUAUGCCUCCUCUAUUUGGGGUUCCUUCAUUAUCCUUUCACUAAGAGAAAACUCAUUUCCAGAUUCUGGGGCCACCAAAAUUCACCCCUACAUGUUGAAGACUUAAAAUGGACCAUUCUCCAUCAUCCUCCAGGAAGAAUUUCAAGAGGUCAACCUGUAGAGUCAGAGGUCUCAGUGCAAGUCCCAGAUCUGCCAUAUACCUGUCUGUCUGUGGGUAAAUCCUGCCAGUCCGUCUGAGUCCCAGUGUCAUCUGUAUUUUGAGGACGAUCAUAAUGGUCAUGUUGUGAGGCCCCAACAAGACAGUCAUGUGAACAAUCCAGCACCACAUCAAGUUAAGGGAUUUUAAUUCCAGGACAGACACAAGGAUACAGACAAAAAUCCCCGAGAAAUGUUGGCUGUGGCAGUACCAAAGUAAAUCCUGAAGAAAUGCUGAAAUGGGGGAGGCUGUUAAAUGGACUGGAGAGUUUCCCAUGUUUGGAAAAUUUCUGAACAGAGAAUGGAUUUCCAGUCUGAGGCUCACAGGAUACUCCUUUCUAUUCCUUACCUGAAAUUAGAGAAUAAAGUACCUGUUAGGCAUCAACUCUAAAGAA